rnacentral:tRNA from 1 species
GCCUGGAUGGCUGAGUCAGCUGAGCAUGAGACUCCUGAUCUCAAUGUUGUGAGUUUGAGUCCCAUAUUAGGUG